AAUUAUCACCCACGACACGACCUGACCACCCCAUCCUCGCCCACAGAAAAAGUGCACAAAAUAAAUAAUUUCUAUUUACUAAGUCUUUUGUGAAAUUGUUUGGGUGUCCUAAUUAAAUUUAUCCACAGUCCAAGAGCCCUAUUCAUUACUAUUAGGCCAUUACUCGAGUAUCUAUUGUCCCUUUUUUAUUUUUUACUUUUCCAGAGUUAUUACCUGUGUAAAGAUUCUAGCACAUUCACGUUUAAUAAUGUAUUAUACACGUGGGCACGUAUUUGUCAUUUUUAGUACACCUAUUUUUUACAAUAAUUUUAAUAAGACACACAAAAUUCACGCCUUUUCGAUUUUUUAUUUCUAUAAUUUUUUAUUAUUAAAUAGUAUGCGGCUAUACUACGAUUUUUUAUUUCUAUAAUCUUUUUUCAUAAAACAGUACAGCCAAACGGCUAUACUCCCUUUUUUAUUUUUUUCCAAAUCGACCUUGUGAUGACACGUGGCGCCUAGUGGGUGGGGUUCCUCUUUUUUUCUUUAAAAAUAGUAUAGCCGCGCGGCUAUACCCAGUUUUCAGUUUUUAUUUGUUAUUUCUUUAAUAUUUGUAUUUGUUAAAUAGUAUAGCCGCACGGCGAUACUACUUUUUUCAGAAAAAAAUGAUGUUUGACACGUGGCGCUAAAAAGAGGGAGGGUCUUUUCUUUUUUUAUAAAACAGUACAGCCGAACGGCUAUACUCCCUUUUUUAUUUCUUUCCCAAAUGGACCGUGUGAUGACACGUGGCGCCUACUGGGUGCGGUUCCUCUUUUUAUCUUUAAAAAUAGCAUAGCCGCGCGGCUAUACUCAGUUUUUAUUUUUUAUUUUUUUAACCUUUGUGUUUAUUAAAUCGUAUAGCCGUGCGGCUAUACUUCGAUUUUUUUAUAAAAAUUGUUGUUUGGCACGUGGCGCUAAAAGAAGGAGGGUCUGUUCUUUUUUUCAAAAUAGUACAGCCGCACGGCUAUACGCCCUGGUUUUUUUUUUUUUUUAAAUUUUGUUCCCAAAUGGACCUUGUGAUGACACGUGGCGCCUAGUGGGUUGGGUUCCUCCUUUUAUCUUAAAAAAUAGUAUAGCCGAGCGGCUAUACCCAGUUUUCAGUUUUUAUUUUUUAUUUCUUUCAUAUUUGUAUUUACUAAAUAGUAUCGCCGCGCGGCUAUACUACUUUUUCAGAAAAAAAUAAUGUUUGACACGUGGCGCUAAAAAGUGGGAGGGUCUUUUCUUUUUUUAUAAAACAGUACAGCCGAACGGCUAUACUCCCUUUUUUAUUUUUUUCCCAAGUGGACCUUGUGAUGACACGUGGGGCCUAGUGGGUGGGGUUCCUCUUUUUAUCUUUAAAAAUAGUAUGGCCGCGCGGCUAUACCCAGUUUUUGUAAUUUUGUUUCUUUAUUCUUUGUAUUUAUUAAAUUGUAUAACCGUGCGGCUAUACUAGGAUUUUUAAGAAAAAAAAUCAUGUUUGACACGUGGCGCUAAAAGAGGGAGGGUCUUUUCUUUCUUUUUUUUUCAAAAUAGUACAGCCGCACGGCUGUACACCCUCUAAUGGUCUUCUACAUAUAUGUUCAAAAAGUUCUUUUACACAUUUUGGAAUUAAUAUAUACUAUAUCUUUGAUAUAAUAUUAUAUUUUGAUCAAUCUUCCAAUCGAACCAUGGUAUCUAAAACAGAUCAAGCAAAAUUAGCACAUUCGUCAUAUAACUACCUAAAAAUGUAAAAGGGGAUUUUAUUAAUUAAAUUGGGUUACGUACAUAUUUUUCAAUAAUACAUUCGUGUUCUAUACACGUCUCACGGUUUUUGAAAAGCAAACAUACAAUAGUCGUAUUGUACAUGUACAUACAAUUUCUAAUAUUUUAUACACGUAGUUUUUACAAAAAUUUCAAUAAGACACACAAAAUUCCCGUAUUAUACAAAUAAUUCUCACAUGUUAUGGAAUAAGAAUAACAUAUGUUAUAAAAAUUAUAUGAAAACAUCAUAUAGUGGAAGAUUAAUAUCUACUUUGGAUAUGUUGAAACUAGCAAAUUAAUAUUUCUAAGGUACAAACUAAUGCAAUUAGGAUGGUCCUUUUCGAUUUUUUAUUUAUUAUUUAUUUAACCUUUGUAUUUAUUAAAUAGUAUAGCCGUUCGGCCAUACUUCGAUUUUUAUAAAAGAUAAUGUUUGACACGUGGCGCUAAAAGCGGGAGGGUCUUUUCCUUUUUUCGGAAUCGUACAGCCGCACGGCUAUACUUUCUUUUUUAUUUUUUUUUUCCCAAAUGGACCUUGUGAUGACACGUGGCGCCUAGUGGGUGGGGUUCCUCUGUUUUUAUCUUUAAAAAUAGUGCCGCGCGGCUAUUCUCAAUUUUUAUUUUUUAUUUCUUUAACCUUUGUGUUUAUUAAAUAGUAUGGCCGCGCGGCUAUACUCAGUUUUUCUUUUUUAUUUCUUUCAUCUAUGUAUUUAUUAAAUGCUAUACUUCGAUUUUUUAUAAAAAUUGUUGUUUGACACGUGGCGCUAAAAGGACAAAAUAGUACAGCCGCACGGCUAUACUCCCUGGUUUUUUUUUUUUUUUUUUUCCCAAAUGGACCUUGUGAUGACACGUGGCGCCUAGUGGGUUGGGUUCCUCUUUUUAUCUUUAAAAAUAGUAUGGCCGCGCGGCGAUACCCAGUUUUCAGUUUUUAUUUUUUAUUUCUUUAAUAUUUGUAUUUAUUAAACAGUAUAGCCGCGCGGCUAUACUACUUUUUUAGAAAAAAAAUAAUGUUUGACAUGUGGCGCUAAAAAGAGGGAGGGUUUUUUCUUUUUUUGCAACCAGUACAGCCGCACGGCGAUACUCCCUUUUUUAUUUUAUUUUUCCCCAAAUGGACCUUGUGAUGACACGUGGCGGCUAGUGGGUGGGGCUCCUCUUUUUAUCUUUAAAAAUAGUAUAGCCGCGCGGCUAUACCCAGUUUUUAUAUUUUGUUUCUUUAUUCUAUGUAUUUAUUAAAUUGUAUAACCGUUCGGCUAUACUAGGAUUUUUAGGAAAAAAAAUAAUGUUUGACACGUGGCGCUAAAAAGAUGGAGGGUCUUUUCUUUUUUUAUAAACCAGUACAGCCGAACGGCCAUACUCCCUUUUUUUUUUUUUUCCCCAAACGGACCUUGUGAUGACACGUGGCGGCUACUGGGUGGGGCUUUAUCUUUAAAAAUAGUAUAGCCGCGCGGCUAUACCCAGUUUUUAUAUUUUGUUUCUUUAUUCUUUGUAUUUAUUAAAUUGUAUAACAGUGCGGCUAUACUAGGAUAUUUAGGAAAAAAAAUAAUGUUUGACACGUGGCGCUAAAAGAGGGAGGGUCUGUUCUUUUUUUCAAGAUAGUACAGCCGAACGGCUAUACUUCCCUUUUUUUAUUUUGUUCCCACAUGGACCUUCUAGUGGGUGGGGUUCCUCUUUUUAUCUUCAAAAAUAGUAUAGCCGCUCGGCUAUACCCAGUUUUCACUUUUUAUUUUUUAUUUCUUUAAUAUUUGUAUUUGUUAAUUAGUAUAGCCGCACGGCGAUACUACUUUUUCCAGAAAAACAAUGUUUGACACGUGGCGCUAAAAAGAGGGAGGGUCUUUUCUUUUUUUAUAAAACAGUACAGCCGAAUGGCUAUACUCCCUUUUUUAUUUGUUUCCCAAAUGGACCUUGUGAUGACACGUGGGGCCUAGUGGGUGGGGUUCCUCUUUUUAUCCUUAAAAAUAGUCAGUUUUUAUUUUUUAUUUCUUUAACCUUUGUGUUUAUUAAAUAGUAUAGCCGUUCGGCUAUACUUCGAUUUUUUAUAAAAAAGUUGUUUGACACGUGGCGCUAAAAGAAGGAGGGUCUGUUCUUUUUUUCAAAAUAGUACCGCCGCACGGCUAUAGUCCCUUUUUUUUUUUUUUCUGUUUUUUUCCCAAAUGGACCUUGUGAUGACACGUGGCGGCUAGUGGGUGGGGUUCCUCUUUUUAUCUUUAAAAAUAGUAUAGCCGCGCGGCCAUACGCCCUGUUUUUUUUGUUUUUUUUUCCCAAAUGGACCUUGUGAUGACACGUAGCGGCUAGUGGGUGGGGUUCCUUAUCUUUAAAAAUAGUAUAGCCGCGCGGCUAUACUCAAUUUUUAUUUUUUAUUUUUUUACCUUUGUAUUUAUUAAACAGUAUAGCCGCGCGGCUAUACGCAGUUUUUCUUUUUUAUUUUUUUCAUCUUUAUAUUUAUUCAAUAGUGUAGCCAGUCGCUAUACUUCGAUUUCUAUGAAAAAUAAUGUUUGACACGUGGCGCUAAAACAGGAAGGGUCUGUUCUUUUUUUCAAAAUAGUACAGCCGCACGGCUAUACUGCCUUUUUUUUUUUGUUCCCAGAUGGACCUUCUAGUGGGUGGGGUUCCUCUUUUUAUCUUUAAAAAUAGUAUAGCCGCUCGGCUAUACCCAGUUUUCAGUUUUUAUUUUUUAUUUCUUUAAUAUUUGUAUUUGUUAAAUAGUAUAGCCGCACGGCUAUACUACUUUUUUUAAAAAAAACAAUGUUUGACACGUGGCGCUAAAAAGAGGGAGGGUCUUUUCUUUUUUUUUAUAAAACAGUACAGCCGAACGGCUAUACUCCCUUUUUUAUUUUUUUCCCCAAAUGGACCUUGUGAUGACACGUGGGGCCUAGUGGGUGGGGUUCUCUUUUUAUCUUUGAAAAUAGUAUAGCCGCGCGGCUAUACUCUGUUUUUAUUUUUUAUUUCUUUAACCUCUGUGUUUAUUAAAUAGUAUAGCCGUGCGGCUAUACUUCGAUUUUUUUAUAAAAAAGUUGUUUGACACGUGGCGCUAAAAGUAGAGAAGCUGCCACCCGACCAGCCCAGGCACCCUGGGCGUGCGCCCAAGCGUGGCCUACCUAACUCCUUGGCGCCUGCCCCUAACGUUUAGGGUGAACUCGCAACGGUGUUCUCCCGCCUAGCGCCUAGGUGCCUCCUAGGUCGAUUUUUUAGAGUUUCUUCUUCUUCUUCUUUUGUGGUUU
rnacentral:lncRNA from 1 species